rnacentral:piRNA from 1 species
UAAUUCUUAAUUUAGCUGUAUGAGGUGAGA